rnacentral:lncRNA from 10 species
CUGGCCUGCACCCAUUGUCCAACAAGCCCCAGUGAGAUGAACCAGGUACCUCAAUUGGAAAUGCAGAAAUCCCCUGUCUUCUGCGUUGCUCAUGCUGGGAGCUGUAGACUGGAGCUGUUCCUAUUCGGCCAUCUUGGAACCUCCUUCCUUAUCCAUCUUUAGAGCAGAACUGCCAUCAAAGAAAACCUGCCCAAACCCAACUGCUCCUCCAACACUCCUGCACAUUCUGCAAAGCCUUCUUCUAGUCCUAGCCCCCACAUCGCCUGUCUCUACCUCCCUCCCACUUUCUCCUUAUUCUAUAUCUUGCAAUCUGCAAAGAUUUCAAAGAAGUCUUUGGAAAUGUUUGAAAAGAAGAUUUCCAGUCUGGUGAGGCAAGAAGAGGCUUUCUGAAGACUGAGAAAGGAGAAGAAAUGAUGCCAGCAAAGUGAGGAUUGUUUUAGAGGCCAGGAGUUGGGGAAAGGUUGGAAGGGCUCUUCCAUUAAUGUUUUUGUUCCUGUCACAGUGGACUCAAAAGCCAGGCUGAUCUUCUAAAUAAGUCAUACAUGCAAAGAGGCUUAGCAGAGAGCAAGGACCCUUGUACCAGGAAGUAGACGGCAACCAAAUGAAAGAAGAAGGUUCUGAUCAGUGGGUGAAAGAUACUGCCCAGAGAAAUUCCCUGACCUGCAGAGAAUGGGUGAAGCAGCUUGUACAGGUUCUAGUGGUCUCUAGCACAGGGGAAAGGAGCCACUAAAGUGCUAAUGAGGCCUGGACAUCAUUGGAAGAAGGUAUAGAGUGAGAAGAAAACAAGAGUCAGGACAGAUGCUUAUGGAGCAAGUGGAAAAAAAGAGUCAAUGAAAGAUUCUGAUGAGAAACUGUCAAGGAUGUGGACGAGGACCAGGAGUGUGUGGUGUCCUGGAAAUUAGGAAGUAUUUUUUAAAGAGACAGUAUCAAAUAUUUCAUAAAGGUCAAGUUUGAUAAGGAAUGGAA